rnacentral:rRNA from 1 species
UGCAAGUCGAACGCUUCUUUUCCCACCGGAGCUUGCUCCACCGGGAAAAGAGGAGUGGCGAACGGGUGAGUAACACGUGGGUAACCUGCCCAUCAGAAGGGGAUAACACUUGGAAACAGGUGCUAAUACCGUAUAACAAUCGAAACCGCAUGGUUUCGUUUUGAAAGGCGCUUUACGGUGCCGCUGAUGGAUGGACCCGCGGUGCAUUAGCUAGUUGGUGAGGUAACGGCUCACCAAGGCCACGAUGCAUAGCCGACCUGAGAGGGUGAUCGGCCACAUUGGGACUGAGACACGGCCCAAACUCCUACGGGAGGCAGCAGUAGGGAAUCUUCGGCAAUGGACGAAAGUCUGACCGAGCAACGCCGCGUGAGUGAAGAAGGUUUUCGGAUCGUAAAACUCUGUUGUUAGAGAAGAACAAGGGUGAGAGUAACUGUUCACCCCUUGACGGUAUCUAACCAGAAAGCCACGGCUAACUACGUGCCAGCAGCCGCGGUAAUACGUAGGUGGCAAGCGUUGUCCGGAUUUAUUGGGCGUAAAGCGAGCGCAGGCGGUUUCUUAAGUCUGAUGUGAAAGCCCCCGGCUCAACCGGGGAGGGUCAUUGGAAACUGGGAGACUUGAGUGCAGAAGAGGAGAGUGGAAUUCCAUGUGUAGCGGUGAAAUGCGUAGAUAUAUGGAGGAACACCAGUGGCGAAGGCGGCUCUCUGGUCUGUAACUGACGCUGAGGCUCGAAA